rnacentral:rRNA from 1 species
CAAGGGUAUGGCUGUUCGCCAUUUAAAGUGGUACGCGAGCUGGGUUUAGAACGUCGUGAGACAGUUCGGUCCCUAUCUGCCGUGGGCGCUGGAGAACUGAGGGGGGCUGCUCCUAGUACGAGAGGACCGGAGUGGACGCAUCACUGGUGUUCGGGUUGUCAUGCCAAUGGCACUGCCCGGUAGCUAAAUGCGGAAGAGAUAAGUGCUGAAAGCAUCUAAGCACGAAACUUGCCCCGAGAUGAGUUCUCCCUGACUCCUUGAGAGUCCUAAAGGAACGUUGAAGACGACGACGUUGAUAGGCCGGGUGUGUAAGCGCAGCGAUGCGUUGAGCUAACCGGUACUAAUGAACCGUGAGGCUUAACCUUACAACGCCGAAGGUGUUU